rnacentral:rRNA from 1 species
UACGAAGGGUGCAAGCGUUACUCGGAAUUACUGGGCGUAAAGCGUGCGUAGGUGGUUCGUUAAGUCUGAUGUGAAAGCCCCGGGCUCAACCUGGGAAUUGCAUUGGAUACUGGCGAGCUCGAGUGCGGUAGAGGAUGGCGGAAUUCCCGGUGUAGCAGUGAAAUGCGUAGAGAUCGGGAGGAACACCAGUUGCGAAGGCGGCUCUCUGGACCAGCACUGACACUGAGGCACGAAAGCGUGGGGAGCAAACAGG